GAUGAAGAACGCAGCGAAAUGCGAUACUUGGUGUGAAUUGCAGAAUCCCGUGAACCAUCGAGUCUUUGAACGCAAGUUGCGCCCGAAGCCAUUAGGCCGAGGGCACGCCUGCCUGGGCGUCACACGUUGUUGCCCCCCCAUCUACUCCUUCGGGAUUGCGGGGGGCGGAUGAUGGCCUCCCGUGCGCCUCGUCGCGCGGUUGGCAUAAAUGCCAAGUCCUCGGCGACGCACGCCACGACAAUCGGUGGUUGCGAAACCUCGGUUGCCCGUCGUGUGCGGUCGUCGCGCAUCGAGGGCUCGAAAAAAUUGUCGGGCUCCGGCUCGGCUUUCAACGCGACCCCAGGUCAGGCGGGGUUACCCGCUGAAUUUAAGCAUAUCAAUAAGCGGAGGA
rnacentral:misc_RNA from 1 species